rnacentral:snRNA from 1 species
UUCCUUGAUUUUGGCAGCU